ACUCAACGCGAAUUCUUUAAAAAGGGUGAGUUAAAGCUGUAAAAGCAAGCCGUUUCUACCUUUGGUAGAUGGACGGAUCCUUGAUCAUCUUAUUAGCCCUAAACUUAAUUUUAAGGAGUUU
rnacentral:sRNA from 1 species